GGCUCCUCCCAGCCGUGUGCGUGCUGUGGAGUGGAUGGGCAGACACGGAUGGAUGGAUGGGACCCCUCUGUGGGGGGAAGCAGGGCGAGAGCGCUGCGGAAGGGACGAGGUGGUUGUAGAGAGGUGCUGGGCACGGCCACCUCCCAACUUCCUCGUGCUGAGUUUUCCCAUGAGCAGUGAAUGCCAAGCAGCCUCUAACCCAGAGCAUCCAGGUUAAUUACUCAUUAAUAGCACUGAAACACCCUUCACAUUCUCCAGGAAAUGUAUUCCAGCCAGCACGAAAGGCAACGCAAUGCUCUGAUUCAUCCCAGCGUCCAGGAGAACAUCGCAGCAAUAAACUGAUAAGGAAGAACAGGUCCGAUGCAGCUCCUCUCCAGCCUGUAAUUAGAGCAGUCUGCAUGGCAAUUAACACAAAGUUCCCACUGGUGUGGCUCGGGGCGGGCUCCCAUCCCGCUGCUCUACAGAUGAGUUCUUCCUUCCUUCCAGGCCCACCCCUGGCAGGCACUGCACCCAUGCAGGGCAGCCCUCAGCCCCCGCAGCCUUCCCUGGUGUCGGUGCCAUGCUGGGUAUCUCCCAUAGGGCCAAACUCAUGGUCACAGCACCCAAAAUGCAGCACAGGGUGGGCUCUGCAGCACACCAACCAGCUCCCCUCUCUCAUCCACUCAGCUCAGUCUCAGAGCCCACAAGAUAUGCCACUCUAUGCAAAUCUACCCACCUGCCAGUCGGCAGAAAUAGGAGUUCAUUUUGAGUCCCAGAGCCCCAGGCUUUGACACUUGCCAUGCUAAGCACUGCUCAGGGCUGCCUGCAGGCAGCACAGAGCCACUGCCAUCUGCUGCCAUGGGCUGCCAUCACACCGUGCUGCUCCUGGGCUGCCCCACACUUUGACUUUAAUCCCUAUCCAUGCCCUUUAUCCAUGCAAUUGCCCACAGUGCCCCGUGCCUCUGAUUUUCCCUCCCUGAGUAACAGGCAAACUUCUCGCUUCUGCCUGCUAAGCUGCCGUGAGCUUCAGCUCUCCGGAAUGACCAGGAUGGGCAGAUGUCACCUGGAUGCCACCACCCCAAGGGCUGCUCUGAAGAUGCUCUGCUGCAAACCUAUGUGGUUUUUCCCAGAGAAGGCGGCUCAGGGCCAGACACAAACACCCAUUACAGACGCAGGUGGGGAGGUGCUGCAAUAGCAGUGACUCAGGACUGCACCAUCUCGCCCUGCUGAUGGGCUCUGUGUGGGCUCAUCCUGCCCAGGACACCGUCUCCAAGGGCUGGGAGCCACCUGUUGGGCAAAAGUGGGGCAGAGGAGCAGCGUUGCUCAACCCAACCUCAUUCACCACUCAUCCCAGAGCAUCAUCUCCAUCACCUGCAGCAUAAUUCCCUUUGCAAGCCAAGCAGCAAGUCUACUUUCUGCUUCAGUUGCUUCCCUCUGCAAAAAGCGUUUGCUAACUCCCAUUAUCCAAUAUUUAACAGUGCACAGCAAUAAACAAAGUGUUAGAGAUGAGAGUACACGCCGCGUGUGUUGUGAGGCUGCAUUCAAAAUGCAGAGGCUGUCUGCUGAGGGAAGCAGUGCUCUGUGCAGCUUUCAGGUGCGUUCUGCUCUCUAUCAGAGCCCAAUUAGAUUCCUGCUCCGGGGAGAACAGCUCUUUGCGGAGCAGAGAUGGAGCGCCCUACCUGCACACAGUGAUUGCUGCUUAUCAUAAAGAUGGACAUGGCUACCAAAAGGUGCAAGUCAUUAUCUGUCCCAGUUAUUCUCCCUCCACAAUCCAGUGAAUAAAGACCAACCGCACCGCCAUCACCACCCACAGCCUCCAGUGGUGGCACUAUGGGGACCAGGACCCCAUGGAUGGAGGUUUCCCCAGGGCACGGGCUGCCAGGACCCACAUCUCACCCAUCCCUACAUUUCAUUCCAGAUGCACAUGGAAAGCAUCCCCCGGCUUCCAGUUCCAGCCUCCCACCUCAGCCGUGCAGCCGCUCCAGAACAACAUCCAUCCCCAUCGUUCCUCUUGCUUUCAAUCCACAAUCCAGAUUUGCCCGGAGACCUAUAAGAGCUCUUAAGCUAUCUUGUCUGCUCGUGUGCAGAGGAGGGGGAGAAGAAAGCCCCACGGUGGAGAAAACAAGGCUGCGUGAAUUGGAGGGGUUAGGAAAACACUCGUACCUAUGCAGGGAAGGCACCAAGUGAUGAAUCAAUUAAAUACCUGAUGGAUUAACCUGAAGUCGGGGUGUUCUCACUGCACUUUCCAUGGCAAGCAGCUUCAAAGGACCCAAUGCGUGGUGCAGCAUCGCCGUGCCAAAGCGGCUCCGGGCAUCGGGGCUGAGCCCAGCAGGACAGAUGGACACCACAAGUGGGCAAACACCCAAUGAGAGGCACAGGAAAGCAUCUGAGCCUGCAGUGGGGGCUGUUGUCAAGCUGACAGCUGGCUCUGUGGCCUCGAUGGCCCUUACGCUGGCAGAGGUGCAAGCUCCUAGACAUCACCAUCCCAUAAAUCGGGUUGUUCUGAGCAAGAGGAGCCAACACCUUCCCCCAGCUUUUGCUGAGUGCCCCCGGAUACACAGCAGCACCACAGGCACAGAACAUGGAUGUGGUGCUGAGGCCAUGGUCAGUGAGCAUGGUGGGGGGGUUGGGGUUUGGAGAGGUGUUUUCCCACCUCAGUGACCUCCCAGAGGCAGUGAGUUUUACUGCCACAUCAGCAGCGCUAACAGCACCCAAAGGAGACCCCUCCCACAGCCGUGAGCCAGGGGCAAUCACAGCACCACUCCAGCUGGAGAAGACUUUCGCUAUCGAGACCAACCCGUCCUACCGAGCCCCAGCACCAACCACGUCCCUCAGUGCCACAUCCACGUGUCUCUCAGAUACCCCCGAGGAUGAGGACUCCACAAACAACCUGAGCAUUCCCAGUGGAUGAAAUAGCCACUGCUCAAUCCUAAUAGCACAGCUCCCUACUGCCAGGCAGAGCCCAUGGGAAGGCUCAGAGCCCUCAUGUUCCUUAGGGGAGAGGCCAGGAAAGCAAAGGAGGACCCCAGAGCAACCCAGCAUGAGCCCACACAGCAAACUCCCAGUGCUUCUCAAGCUGCUUCCUAAGGAGCUGUGCUCAGCAAGGGAUGCCGCUGCCCGCUAAUUAGCUGAGGCAGCUGCACAGUAAUUAGCUGAUGCUCAGGCAAGUAACACAGGGGCUGGUCAGCUCAAGCUCUCACUGCUCUGGAAAUCCUCCCCUUAUGUCCUCAACUAGUAGAAGCAGCUCUUAGGGAACAGGAGGAGGGGUUCCAAUUGGCAGAGACGAUAACACAAAGCAUCUUCAGCGAGCUCUGCUAUCAGAGCGCCCCUGGGAACGCCGACUUCACUUUGGGCGUGAGGAAAAUGAGGAGCUCAGGGUGCAAAGGGCUGGAAAAGUGAAUGAAAGACGUCAGUUGUCGGGGCUGAGGAAUACAAGAAGCAGGGAAAUACGCCCAAGUGGAGAAGGCACAAACCCCGAGGAGCUGUCAGAGCCCAGGCAGCCGGCAGCCGCCUCCCGCAUCCCUGAGCGGCGCUCCUCCAACAAGUCACUUGUAAGCUAUUAGCAACCAGGAUAUUGCUGUCUUACCCUUACUUUGCAUAACUCUAAAUGACAGAGCAAAUUGCCACUCUGCAAGGAAACAGCCCUGAUGUAUUCAAGCCGACAGCGUCUCUUCCCAUUACGGUUAUUCACUGUGCAUGGGCACUGCCCUGGGCCGGCACACACGGUGCUCACGGUGCAGAGCCACCCCCACCCCAAUAACCUCCACGUCUUUGGCCUCAGAGAGCUGAUGGAACAAAAUAAAAGCCGGGGGGGGAUGACAUUUAUAAGCACUGAGAUCUUAAAGACAGAACAGUAUACCACCGUGGGUGAAGGCUUUGAAUGUUAAUAAAAAAGGGGGGAAUUCUGGUUGAGAGCCACUCAGAUAGGACAUUAAGGGAAUUCACAGCCUUUGCUAACUAUGUUUUUACUCUUGGACACUUAUAGACACUUCCAAUUCCAUAAAUAUAUAAUUACAGAUGCAUGCAUAUCCUUAGAGAUCCAUAGAUAUCAUAAUAGUUAGACACAGGUGGUUAAGGGAGAGUUUUACACCCUGCUUACCCAACACCUACCUCAAUGUUCAUCAUAGAUUCAUGGACUCAUUAAGGUUGGAAGAGACCUCUGAGACCAUCAGGGGUCCAAGGAGCCGCCAUUCCCCCCUUGGAAGGCUGCAGGGUGGCACUGGGACACCGUGGGCAUGGAUGCGCCCAGAGCCAAGUUGGGUAUACGGGGAUACCAGUUGGGUAUAUGGGGAUGUGUGCAGGGCAGGAGCACCAACGUGCAGGUGGUUAUCACGUCCAUCCCACAUGUUAGCAUCCACUAAUCUGCAUGUGCGAAACUGAAAUCACAGAGCGUAAUUAAGAUACGAACUCUGAUUUGCAGGGAAGAGGUGGGGGGAGGGAAACGUGGCCUCUCAAGGUCAAAAAACAAACCUCGACAAAAGCGUUAUCCCCAGCGUUGUGCAGCUGAUUGCAUCAUCUGCAUAUGAAAUGAAAUAUAACUCACAUUUGUCAUGCACAGACCGUUGCUGAACUCCCCUCACCCCCGCCCUCUCCUCUUCAUUAAUCUCCCUGUAACAUCCACAG